rnacentral:rRNA from 1 species
CCGAUAGAGGGGGAUAACCACUGGAAACGGUGGCUAAUACCGCAUAACGUCGCAAGACCAAAGAGGGGGACCUUCGGGCCUCUCACUAUCGGAUGAACCCAGAUGGGAUUAGCUAGUAGGCGGGGUAAUGGCCCACCUAGGCGACGAUCCCUAGCUGGUCUGAGAGGAUGACCAGCCACACUGGAACUGAGACACGGUCCAGACUCCUACGGGAGGCAGCAGUGGGGAAUAUUGGACAAUGGGCGCAAGCCUGAUCCAGCCAUGCCGCGUGUGUGAAGAAGGCCUUUUGGUUGUAAAGCACUUUAAGCGAGGAGGAGGCUCUCUUAGUUAAUACCUAAGAUGAGUGGACGUUACUCGCAGAAUAAGCACCGGCUAACUCUGUGCCAGCAGCCGCGGUAAU